rnacentral:lncRNA from 1 species
UCUGGACACCUCAUGGCCCCGUCAAGUUGUCACAUAAAAUUAACCAUCACAGCUGGAUUUAUAAAAUUAUAAAUAAAGCCGUAUUCUCAUUCUAUAGAAUACAGCGUAAGACACACCUCUGCUUGUUAGCCUGAGAACCAACCAGGAAUUCAUCUUUUGGGGCAAGGGCAUACCUGGAGUUGAGGGAUUCCCCUCACAGAUAUUUUCCUGUCUCUUCUGAAGGGCCAGUCUUCUCGGGAGUUGAAGUGAGUGGUUGCUAAGUGUGGAGUCAGCAGUAGACUGGGAACAGGAGGGCAGAGGGCCUGGCAAGAGCCCAUGGGGGUUUCCCGGGGUUUCCAAAGAGGCUUCCAGUUGGGUGUCCACCAGAUCACACCCACAGAAACCACUUCUUCCCUCCAGAAACUUCCCAGACCUCUUACCACCACACAAGGGAUUUAAGAACUGAACAAUCUUUUGGGGAUGUCCAGUAAAGGGAAUGGUGAGGCGGCUCCAAAAGGAAACAAAGGGAGUGUUUAGCUGGUUGGUGAGCUCAGGUAUCAGUCCCAGAGAGCCGAUUUCUCUGCUUUGCUUUGUCUGUUAGUACUCAUUUUGCUUUGCAACCAGAAACACAUUUCAGUUUGAAAUUGUACCCAGGCUGCACCCUCCCUCUCCGACGUUAGGGUGCACCCACUCUUCUCAGGCCCAAUCAGGCAGCGAUGUGCCUUGCAUCCAGACAAGGAGUAAAUAUCAUUCUGGAGCCCUCAGUGAAUAUCAUUCUGGAGUAAUAGCUUCUUCAUAAUAAGGACUUACAAGUAACUCAUUACCUCCUCACCAGCCAAAAAUACUCAUUUCUCCAGGGCACAUCUACAAGAC